UCUGAACAGUUUGGUUGAGAGCCGAGCAGUGACGUGUCGGUCUGCGGACCAGGAAGGAGCGGCGAUAGGAAGGAGUGGACGCUGUACCCUGGUCACAUGAGCAGAAGCGGAAAUACGUAAAGAAAGCGGCAGUCGUACCACGUCCGGAAAAGUUGGGCUGCAGAUCCGUUUGUUUUUUAAGGACCAUGAAAAAGUUCCUCUAACAGACAUCUGGAGAAAAAUUAAAACAACUGUACUAUGGACUGGAUAUUUACCAGGUUGUUGCCGUUUGAGUUCCUGUCCUGUCUGCCUUCAAUGAUGAACAAUGAUGUGAGUCUUUGCUUCAUUGGCGCUGAUGAUGAAUAAAGGAAACAGGAUAGAAAAGAGGCAGCCACUGUUUAAAAAAAAAAAAAAAAAAAAAAAGUCAACUUUAUAAGGCAUGACUUUAGGAAACAGUAUUAUAAGCCUCACAUCUCUUCACUUCUGAAUUUCUAAGUAUUUUCCUCCAGGAGGCAGCAUAGAAGAUUUUUUUUUUAUAUUUUCAUCUUAAUAAUGACAAAUGUCACUUAAUAUUAGCAACAACAAAUUUUCCUGAUGGUCAAAUGAUGUAACAUGCUGGUACAGAUGCAGAACAAUAAAAGAUACUUGGAACAUACUUUACAUGAGUCUUAAUUGUCUUAGUCUUUCGAAUUCUUUCUCUCGCCAAAUUACCUGAUAAUGUAGGAGGAUUGCAUUGCUGUGAGGAAAGCCAAGGGCAAGCCAAACCCAAAGUAGUAAGGCCAAUUCCUUUCUAUGUUCGACAAUCGCUGGUGCAUUUCAAUUCCUAAAAAGGGGAAGUCGGCACACUUAAGGCUCAUUUUAUU
rnacentral:lncRNA from 1 species